UUGUUACAGCAGCCACAGGAAACUAAUACACACUCGUUUCUUCGGGGGGUUAUCAUGCAACCAGUAAAUCUGGCUACACGGCAAAUGAACCAAAGCAGAACGAUGGUGAGCGGUCAGCAUUAUCAUGCUUUUCAGGCUGUCCUGUUUCCUCCCCUUGGAGCCCCCUGUGGAGCACAUGCUGUUAUUAUCCUGACUUCACAGGCAAACAAACUAAGGCAAUGCUGUAGGUAACUCGCUAAGGUCACCGGCGGGCAGGUGGGAAUGCCCUAAGUGGCAGCCUUCCUAGGCCCCCGAAGUCAGGUGACGGGAAGAGCGUGAGAUCUAUUGGCCGAGCAGCAGCAGGAGGUUGGGCACUGAACCAAAAACGGGAGGACGAAAGCGUGUCACCUUAACCCUGUGAAGGGCCCGCCUUCUGCCCUGGGCCAGAAUUGUCCAGAGGAAGCCAUGGCACGCCCACCUGACGGAAUGGUGUGCACCCAUCGAAGACGGCCUUCUGAAACCUGUAGCAUCAUGGGAAAGGAUGACGUCGCCAAGCGAACAACGCUCCCUGCAGAAUUGCCUCUGUGCAGGGUCGCCCCCCCCCCACCCCCGGCAGUGUUAUGUGUGCACGUGGGUGUAGCAGGAGGGGACUCUUGAGCCACGUGGCUCUCCACACUGUCUCUGGUCAGAUGUCCUUGCCUUUAAGCAUGCCCAAGUUGAUGGCCCGGGGCUGGUCACCUGGCCCCAGGUUCGCCAGCCAGCGGUUCCCUUAGGAAUACAGAGUAAUGAUUCCUCGGGUGCCUGGAGCUUGGGUGCUGUGCACUCACGCGAGGGAGCUGUGGGUCGCUUACGCUGCUCAAAAGGACUGAAGCCAUCAGAGAAGCUGCUGUGCAGAGACAGAGACUGAGAAUCAGGAAGCAGAUGUACAGAGAGGAAGAGACAGUCACAGGCUGAAAGAAGAAAACCAGCCACCAUGCUUGCUGUUGAGAAACCCCAGCCCUGGGGGAUGGCCCAGUCUGUGGCUGAAUAUUCUACUGGACAGGAGUUCAUGGCAGUGGUUGUUGGGUCAAUGGCAUGACCCAAAACAAAACUGACAGCCAACUAACUAAGCUUCUGUGGGAAUUGAAACUCCAGGAAACCCUAAAACCUGGCAAACUGGGGCUUGUGACGGCUUACCCUCUGGGUGAUUCCUAAGCCCACGUCCCAGCACCAACGUGAAGCAGGUUCCCGGGUAGCUGUGUCCCCUCCUAGAACAAGGUGUCCCAAGAAUCUCUCAAGGGCAGGUCUGCAAGACCCCAGAGAAGGGAUCCCUUCCCGGUGGGCAGGACCGGGGGCGGCCAUGUUUGCCGACGAAGAAGCCCAGGAAGGUAACCAGUAAAGCAAACCCCGUGAA